AUUGAACGCUGGCGGCAGGCUUAACACAUGCAAGUCGAGCGGGGAAGGGUAGCUUGCUACCUAACCUAGCGGCGGACGGGUGAGUAAUGCUUAGGAAUCUGCCUAUUAGUGGGGGACAACAUUCCGAAAGGAAUGCUAAUACCGCAUACGCCCUACGGGGGAAAGCAGGGGAUCUUCGGACCUUGCGCUAAUAGAUGAGCCUAAGUCGGAUUAGCUAGUUGGUGGGGUAAAGGCCUACCAAGGCGACGAUCUGUAGCGGGUCUGAGAGGAUGAUCCGCCACACUGGGACUGAGACACGGCCCAGACUCCUACGGGAGGCAGCAGUGGGGAAUAUUGGACAAUGGGGGGAACCCUGAUCCAGCCAUGCCGCGUGUGUGAAGAAGGCCUUUUGGUUGUAAAGCACUUUAAGCGAGGAGGAGGCUACCGAGAUUAAUACUCUUGGAUAGUGGACGUUACUCGCAGAAUAAGCACCGGCUAACUCUGUGCCAGCCGCCGCGUAACAC
rnacentral:rRNA from 1 species